ACCACUCAGCCGGCCCUGCCGGUCUCCGCCCCUGAGCGGCAUGGGGCUCCUUCUGCACGGCUCUCGUGUCUCAUCUUUUCUCCCACGUCCCACUUCUUUGUCUUUCUCUUCCAUUUUCCAGGUGGUUUCCUCAAUUUCGUAUUCCAACCCCUCCACCGAACAUUUCAGUUCUGUUUUGUUUGUUUAUGAAGAGCUCUUUGUGAUUUUCUGCAUGUUUCUUUUUAAAAAAACAGAGUCCUUUGCAAGUUGGACGGAGCGAGUGUUUCCCUUCCACUUCCUGGGUUUCGCUGAACGAUUCCCGAGGCUUCUGCCCUCUGCACGGCGCACCCCUCGGCCUCCGAGUCCUGCUCUACAGCCCCUGAAGGGAGCACCCGCUCCUGCUUCAAGCUCCGCAGGAGGGGCAGGGUCAGUCACCAGAGGGGCGGCGGCGGGGACAUCGGACACCCCUCGGUGCCCUGCUGGCUCCCACCGUCCUCCCUGGGGCAUGUUUCAGGGCUUCAGGAGUGAUGUGCUGACUCCCUAAGAUCCAAUGGAAAGAAAAGGCAAUUCUCCGCUUGCUGCGCUCAACAUUUCGGCACCCGGUGGUUAAAUGUAACCAUCUACUCUUUCCUGGCUUCGGGACUUGGACGCUAGGUUAACAGUCUGCCCCUGUGCACCUGGGGUUCAUCCUGGUGUUCAGUGAGAGUGAUCUCUACACGAAAUGGGGGGCUCGAACUCAUGACCCCGAGAUCAAGAGUCGAAUGCUCUUCUGACCAGGUGCCCCAAAUAUUUAGCAUUUUUAUUGUUGAUGACACUGAAUUGUGAAACGCCUGAGGAGGACCGUUGGUGCUGGGGAGCCUUCCCCUCCAAGAACUGGGUGUCUCUUCCUGUUGUCAAGGCUCUCGGUAAUGCUCAGGGUGUUUUAGUUUCUCUCAAGUAGGUUUGCCUGUUUCCUAUUAAGUUUAUUCCCAUUUUCAGACUGGCCUUUUUCAUUUUUCUUCUGGAGUCUGUUUAUAACCAUGCAGGCCACUGCUUUGCACGCAGUCGUGUGGACCCUCUUCCCGAACCCUCUGCUGUGGACUGGUUCCGGUCCA